UCUCCUGUAGCUCAGUGGUAGAGCGUCCGACCGGUGUGCGGAAGGUCAUAGUUCGACUCCCGUUGGGAGAA